CACUUCAGUCCAACAAACCCUGUUGUGAGAGGCUUCCCUGGCAUUUAAGUGAGAUCCAUCACUGUAACAUGCACCUCCCAAGUGUUAUCACUGAAUUGUUUGCCAGCGUAUGUCUGAAUCAAAGAGAAGGGGCAGAAAGUGUCCUGGCUGAUGUGCAACCUUUUAAUGAUUUUCUUCUGCAAUCACUCACAGAAUGCCAUUUGAGGAGCUGUGAAAGAAUGACUUUUAAAACCCAAGCUAUUCUAUGAUUCUGUGAUUGUAAAACAAGACCUCAGACCUUCAUGAUCAUUUUCUUUACAUCAAAAGCUCAUUCUGAAUCUCAAGUGUAUUAAUUGCUCAAUCUUAAUUCUUCAGUCCAAAAAAAAAAAAAAAAAAAAAAAAAAAGAAUUAAUCCAAAACAAAAAGAACCCAAAUCUUUGAAAAAUAACCUAACUAGUCAGUGAUCCCAACUAGUUGGAUUAGUGAUCAGGCUUGAUCACAGGUACUCAAAAUAUUCUCUUCUGUGACUGCUGUGACUAAUGUAUCAGGGCAGAAAUGAGUACUGCCUUGAAUUACUUUCCCACCAAAUUAAAGGCAUUGAGUUGCCAGUAUAUCUCAGGCUUUUCAUUAAAUGCCGCUGAAAUCUGCAUCUUAAAAUCGUGGAGUUUUCUUUUUUUUUUUUUUUUCUUGCUCUGAGGUUCAUUUGAAAAGUGAUUUCAGUUGUUUCUGUCAACAUCAAAAACAUUCAGCAAAUUAUACUUAUGUCUCGUUUCAAAAAUAGUUUAGUAAGGAUUGAGCUGAGUUUUUUUCCUUCUUUUCUUUUUAUGUCAUUGCUUAUAUUUUGUAAUUGUACAGGACAUUUGUCUAUGAGAUUUGCUAUUUUACUGCCAACACAACUGUUUACUAGGUAUAUGUAUUUGCUUACAGUUUCAACUGUUUGUCAGCACACAUACACUCAAAAGUAUAAGUAUUGUACAAGUAUUUUAUAAUACACAUAUGCACAUAUAUAUUAAAGAAUGCUC
rnacentral:lncRNA from 1 species